rnacentral:rRNA from 1 species
CUCUAGGCUCAUACCACCCUGAACGUGCCCGAGGCACAACCCAGGCAGGGUCGGCCUGGUUAGUACUUGGAUGGGAUUCCGCCUGGGAAUACCGGGUGAUGCAGGCU